rnacentral:lncRNA from 1 species
GGCUCCAAAGUGGUGCCCUGGGAGAUGAGGGCGACUCGCAGAUUCCACCCUAUUCUCUGAAUGGGCUUCGAGUCUCCAUGGUAACGGCCCCUCCCAGUUCCCCUGUGACUUCAUAGCUGCCCACGGGAGGGGAGAAAGCUGAUGUGAAGGGGCUGUGGGUUCUCAGCCAAGCUCUGUCUUUGAGGCCACCUACCCUAUACCACUCGUCCCGGAAAGGGUGGUGGUUGUGAGAAUUAAGGGAACCUCAGAGCAAUGGCCAGCACACAAUGACCCUUCAAAUGUCAGCGGCUUUGAUGAUCACCAUUCUUAC